UCCUCUCCAGCACACCCAACCUCCCAUCUACCACGAUUCCCCUCCCCACGAUCCACCUUCUGCCCCACCAGCGCCGCCCUCCCCUUAUCCACCUUAUUCCCCCGCCGGCACUGUCUUCCCCCGAUCCACCUCCUUCCCCCACCGGCGUCGCCCUCCCCCAUCCACCUUCUUCCCUCGCUGGCGCCACCCUCCUCUGAUCCACCUUCUUCCCCUGUCGGCGCCGCCCUCCCCCGAUCCACCUUCUUCCCUCGUUGGCGCGGCCCUCCCUCGACCCACCUUCUUCCCCCGCCGCCGUCGCCCCACCCGAAUCUGGCUUCUUCCCCCGUCGGCGCCGCAGUUGGCCGCACCUCCUGGUGCCCCUCGGGCCGGUCUCGCGCCGCCCCUACCCGGCGUCACCCAUCCCCCACGCCCGGAUCCGCCAUUCAUUCUUAAUCUGGAUCAAGUCGAGGACGAGCCCUCUCCUCGUGGCGGUCUCCGACGAGACACUCAUCUGCGCCAUCCGUGGGGAAUUGGGCGCCAUCCCACCACGUGCAGCUCAGUCGCGGCCCCCGUGCAGCUCGGUCGCGGCCCCUCAUGCAGCUUGGUCAGGGCCCCUGUCUUCGUGCAGGUUCGCCGGCCUCCCUCGUCGUUAGCCAUGGUGCAGCAACCACCGGUCCCGAGCAUCCUCUCAGAUUGCAGCUGGGUCUGGUGACCUCGGCCACAGAUCCAUGGAUACAGCUCAAAUUGCAUCUCGGUGUGCUACUGUUUGUAGUCCUCUUGCGUGGGUUCACCGUUCGCCGUGCAGAUCCCCGUGCUUAUGCCCCUCCUCUCCUAUAGUCGUGCAGUCCGCGACCGCUGCCGUGCAUCUCAAACAAGCCAGCAAUUAGGUUUCGUGCUCAUGUGCUUGCUAUUCGAUGAACACAAGUGCACUACAGCUCCUGGAUAUGGUGGACUUCAGAAGGUGCGGUGCGGCUGACGGACUGUUGAACUUUUCCUAGGUUGUCCGUGCAGUACGGCUAGGGGUUUGUGCAUGCAGUACGGUAGCCCCAAUGGUGCAGUUCGGCGAGGUAGCGUGUGCAGUGCUCACCCGGUGCGAUUCAGUUUUUUCUGUGCGCUCAGUAAGAAAGAGAAGAGAACAUCAAUGUGCAUUUGAAGUCCAUUUUGUUGUUUAUGAGAAACGCAGAGAGAAAGAGUAGUAAGAAUGGAUGGUCAUUUUGUAUAGUCUUUGCCUAGUGCAGUUCGGUUGGGUAUUGUGUCAUUGAUUCUGCUAUGUACUGGAUGGUUGUGUCGCUGUGUAAAAAUAAUGAGUGGAUAUGUAUGUUUUGAAGCU